rnacentral:rRNA from 1 species
AUCGAACGCUGGCGGCAGGCCUAACACAUGCAAGUCGAACGAGUGGCGGACGGGUGAGGACUGUCUGGGAAACUGCCCGUUGGCGGGGGAUAACUACUGGAAACGGUAGCUAAUACCGCAUACCAUCGGAUGUGCCCAGAUGGGAUUGGCUUGUAGGUGAGGUAACGGCUCACCUAGGCGACGAUCCCUAGCUGGUCUGAGAGGAUGACCAGCCACACGGGAACGGAGCCACGGUCCAGACUCCUACGGGAGGCAGCAGUGGGGAAUAUUGCACAAUGGGCGCAAGCCUGAUGCAGCCAUGCCGCGUGUAUGAAGAAGGCCUUCGGGUUGUAAAGUACUUUCAGCGGGGAGGCGUUACCCGCAGAAGAAGCACCGGCUAACUCCGUGCCAGCAGCCGCGGUAAUUC